rnacentral:tmRNA from 1 species
GGGGGCGUAACGGCUUCGACGGGAUAGGGAAGCAGGGUUUCUGAUACAGGCCGGGACUGAGUUAAUCCCGUUAACAACUGACUCAUCACACGUUAAGUGCGAACAACAUCGUUCCUUUUGCUCGUAAGCAAGCCGUCUUGGCCGCUUAAUUCUAACUAAAAACUAGAAUUUUCGAGCACCAACUGAUGACUCCACUAAGUCAGAUUGGUUAACCCCAGUGGAUGCGGCUAGAGUUUUUGUGGUGGCGGAACUCUAGAAUAAGACUUAGCCCCAAGGCUCUUCGUCGGGCAUAACGGCGGAUAUCUGCUCAGGAGACAUUUGAGCUAAGCCUGUGAAUGAGGGAUCCCCCAGUAGCUAGAUCCGGACAUGGGUUCGACUCCCAUCGCCUCCAUCU